UACGGAGGGUGCAAGCGUUAUCCGGAUUCACUGGGUUUAAAGGGUGCGUAGGAGGGCAGGUAAGUCAGUGGUGAAAUCUCCAAGCUUAACUUGGAACUGCCGUUGAUACUAUCUGUCUUGAAUACCGUGGAGGUGAGCGGAAUAUGUCAUGUAGCGGAUGAAAUGCUUAGAUAUGAACAUAGAACACCAAUUGCGAAGGCAGCUCACUACACGAAUAUUGACUCUGAGGCACGAAAGCGUGGGGAUCAAACAGGAAUUAGAUACCCGUAGUAAGUCCGAU
rnacentral:rRNA from 1 species